rnacentral:rRNA from 1 species
AGCAGCCGCGGUAAUUCCAGCUCCAAUAGCGUAUAUUAAAGUUGUUGCAGUUAAAAAGCUCGUAGUUGAACUUCGGAAUUUGUUCAUUGGUCAGGCUUAACUGUCUGUACUGGUGUUACGAAUUUCUACCUUCUGAGGAAUCCUCAUGCCAUUAAUUUGGUGCGGGGGGAAUCAGGACUGUUACUUUGAAAAAUUAGAGUGUUUAAAGCAGGCUAACGUCUGAAUACAUUAGCAUGGAAUAAUAAAAUAGGACGGUUUGGUUCUAUUUUGUUGGUUUCUAGGAUCACCGUAAUGAUUAAUAGGGAUAGUUGGGGGCAUUAGUAUUCAAUUGUCAGAGGUGAAAUUCUUGGAUUUAUUGAAGACUAACUACUGCGAAAGCAUUUGCCAAGGAUGUUUUCAUUAAUCAAGAACGAAAGUUAGGGGAUCGAAGACGAUUAGAUACCGUCGUAGUCUUAACCAUAAACCUAUGCCGACUAGGGAUCGGAUGAUGUUAAUUUUUUAAUGACUCAUUCGGCGCCUU